UACGUAGGUGGCAAGCGUUGUCCGGAAUUACUGGGCGUAAAGCGUGCGCAGGCGGUUUUGUAAGUUUGUCGUGAAAGCCCCGGGCUCAACCUGGGAAUUGCGAUGAAGACUGCAAGGCUUGAAUCUGGCAGAGGGGGGUAGAAUUCCACGUGUAGCAGUGAAAUGCGUAGAGAUGUGGAGGAACACCGAUGGCGAAAGCAGGCUACUGGACCGUCACUGACUCUGAUCUGCGAAAGCUAGGGGAGCAAACAGG
rnacentral:rRNA from 1 species